rnacentral:rRNA from 1 species
CACGUAGGGUGCGAGCGUUGUCCGGAAUUAUUGGGCGUAAAGCGCUCGUAGGCGGUGUGUCGCGUCGGCCGUGAAAACCUGCAGCUUAACUGUGGGCUUGCGGUCGAUACGGGCAUCACUGGAGUUCGGCAGGGGAGACUGGAAUUCCUGGUGUAGCGGCGAAAUGCGCAGAUAUCAGGAGGAACACCGGUGGCGAAGGCGGGUCUCUGGGCCGAUACUGACGCUGAGGAGCGAAAGCGUGGGGAGCAAACAGG